GACGAACGCUGGCGGCGUGCUUAACACAUGCAAGUCGAACGAUGAACUUGGAGCUUGCUCUGGGGGAUUAGUGGCGAACGGGUGAGUAACACGUGAGUAACCUGCCCUGGACUCUGGGAUAACUUCGAGAAAUCGGAGCUAAUACCGGAUAGGACCUUGCACCGCAUGGUGUGGGGUGGAAAGUUUUUCGGUUUGGGAUGGACUCGCGGCCUAUCAGCUUGUUGGUGAGGUAAUGGCUCACCAAGGCGUCGACGGGUAGCCGGCCUGAGAGGGUGACCGGCCACACUGGGACUGAGACACGGCCCAGACUCCUACGGGAGGCAGCAGUGGGGAAUAUUGCACAAUGGGCGCGAGCCUGAUGCAGCAACGCCGCGUGCGGGAUGACGGCCUUCGGGUUGUAAACCUCUUUCGGUAGGGACGAAGCGCAAGUGACGGUACCUACUAAAGAAGCACCGGCCAACUACGUGCCAGCCGCCGCGGUAAUAC
rnacentral:rRNA from 1 species